UGCUUUGUCCUCCCCAACUGUGUUUAGGUAGAUGCUGCGCAUUAUAAUUGCCGGCUACCUGGGAAACACCAAACAGAAAAACCCGCUCACCUGCAAGCUGUUUGCCCGAUAUGUAGUGUGUGGAUCAAAUAUAAUGGAGAUGGACAUGGCCUACUACAUUGGUGUAGAUGUAGGAACUGCUAGUGUAAGAGCAGCUUUGGUGUGUGAGAAAGGCAGCAUACUUGAGACAUCUGAGGAACCUAUUAUUGUCUGGAACCAGCAGCCAUCAUUUUAUGAGCAGUCAUCAGAGAAUAUUUGGAAAGCAGUUAUUACAGUUGUCAAUGAUGUCAUGUCACAAAGUAAAAUAUCGCCAGACCAGGUGAAAGGACUAGGAUUUGAUGCCACCUGUUCUUUGGUCGCCUUAGAUUCAGAUUUUAAGCCAAUUUCAUGCAGUUUAUCAGGUAAAGCAGACUGUAACAUAAUCAUGUGGAUGGACCACCGUGCAGAGGACCAAGCUCAAAGAAUAAAUGCUACAAAGCAUUCUGUACUGAGAUAUGUUGGCGGUACCAUGUCACUUGAAAUGCAGCCACCAAAACUGCUAUGGCUGAAAGAGAGGUUACCUGCUCAGUGGAACAAGAUGGCCAACCUGUUUGACCUGCCUGAUUACCUGACUUGGCGAGCUACAGACAGCCAAACAAGGUCUCUGUGUUCACUUGUGUGUAAGUGGGGCUAUGAAGCACAAACAGCUGACAAACAUGGGUGGAAUGAUGAAUUUCUUGCAGCAGCUGGUCUUGAAGAGCUGUCGUUGAAUGGACACUGCAGAAUUGGACAGCAGGCCCUGUAUCCAGGGGAGUGCUGUGGGUCAGGUCUGACUGCUCUGGCAGCCAAAGAACUUGGCUUAGUGCAAGGAACACCUGUAGGUGCAUCUCUUAUAGAUGCUCAUGCAGGUGGAAUGGCAUGCUUAGCAUGUGUUCCUGCUAGUCUGCCAUUUCAGAUGCCUCCUUUGACAUCAAGGUUGGUGCUUGUAUGUGGAACCUCAACUUGUCAUAUGAUGGUGAGUAACAGCCCUAUCUUUGUUCCGGGUGUGUGGGGACCUUACUUCUCGGCAAUGAUGCCAAAAUUGUGGGCAUCAGAAGGAGGUCAGAGUGCUACAGGCAAACUGAUAGAUUUUAUGGUUGAGAACCAUCCGGCAUAUUUAGCAGCAAAAUCUGCCGCAGAAGAAAGGAAUAUCCACCUGUAUGAAUACCUAAACACCAUGCUGGAGCAUCAGGCUCAUUUGAAGGGAGUCACAGUUGCACAUCUUACUGCUGACUUACACGUCUAUCCAGAUUUCCAUGGAAACCGCUCACCUCUUGCAGAUCCCAGCAUGAAGGGAAUGAUUUGUGGCUUGACAUUAUCAGUGGAUGUAGAUAAUCUGGCUAUUGUCUACCUGUCAACAAUCCAGGCUCUAACGGUGAUCAGAUUGAAAUCGGUACGGAACAAAGCACAUAAUCAGCGAGAUGAGAAAUAGCGGGCACAACAUUCAGUUGUUGUAUUUAUGUGGUGGGCUACGGAAAAACAGGCUGUUUGUUCAGACACAUGCCGAUGUACUUGGUCUCCCAGUUAUCUUGCCAGACACAAAGGAAUCUGUACUUCUUGGUGCAGCCAUACUUGGAGCUUGUGCUUCAGGCAAUUUUAAAAGCAUUCAG
rnacentral:misc_RNA from 1 species